rnacentral:rRNA from 1 species
GAUGAACGCUGGCGGCGUGCCUAAUACAUGCAAGUCGAGCGAACAGACGAGGAGCUUGCUCCUCUGACGUUAGCGGCGGACGGGUGAGUAACACGUGGAUAACCUACCUAUAAGACUGGGAUAACUUCGGGAAACCGGAGCUAAUACCGGAUAAUAUAUUGAACCGCAUGGUUCAAUAGUGAAAGACGGUUUUGCUGUCACUUAUAGAUGGAUCCGCGCCGCAUUAGCUAGUUGGUAAGGUAACGGCUUACCAAGGCAACGAUGCGUAGCCGACCUGAGAGGGUGAUCGGCCACACUGGAACUGAGACACGGUCCAGACUCCUACGGGAGGCAGCAGUACGGAAUCUUCCGCAAUGGGCGAAAGCUUGACGGAGCAACGCCGCGUGAGUGAUGAAGGUCUUCGGAUCGUAAAACUCUGUUAUUAGGGAAGAACAAAUGUGUAAGUAACUAUGCACGUCUUGACGGUACCUAAUCAGAAAGCCACGGCUAACUACGUG